rnacentral:rRNA from 1 species
UUCAACCUACGGGACGCAGCAGUGGGGGAUAUUGCACAAUGGGGGAAACCCUGAUGCAGCGACGCCGCGUGUGGGAAGACGGUCCUCUGGAUUGUAAACCACUGUCCCCAGGGACGAAGAUGACGGUACCUGGGGAGGAAGCUCCGGCUAACUACGUGCCAGCAGCCGCGGUAAUACGUAGGGAGCGAGCGUUGUCCGGAAUUACUGGGUGUAAAGGGGGCGCAGACGGCGAUGCAAGCCAGGAGUGAAAGCCCGGGGCCCAACCCCGGGACUGCUCUUGGAACUGCGUGGCUAGAGUGCAGGAG